UAUGGCCAUAUCAUGUUAAAAUGCCGGUUCUCAUAAAAUCACAGAAGUUAAGCAACAUUGAACCUGGUUAGUACUUAGAUGGGUGACGGCUUUCGAAUGCCAGGUGCUGCAAGC